CGGUCUAAAAGGAUCCGUCUUCCGACAUAAAUGCAACAUCUUGUAUGUUCAUGAAAUGCAAAAUAGUUUAAAAGUGGUUUGACCGCGCAGGUCGCCAAGAAGGCUUGCUUUGAAAUAAAUCUCCACACAUCUCCCAAGCCGCCCCUCUCUGCUCUGCGUCACAUGCGGCGCAUCCUCACAGAAACCGAGCGGAACCACUUCCAUUCUGACCUGGAUUAGGGAACGCUCAGCUGAACGGAGAAGACACGACCGCAGAGCUCGGUAGAAGAUAAAGCGGGAUGUAUGUUCUGCCCUGACCAUGUCCGGAUGGAGUCAGGAGAACAAGGCUAACGCGGAGCCGCUGCGCUGGACGAACAGUGGCAGACUUCUGUGAUCCGAGAACCUUGGGUUUCAUCUUCAUCAUCUUCCUCACUGCCGGAGACAGACAGAAGACCAACUCCCUGCUGAGACUCUCCUUUUCCAUGGAUCUGGUACACGCAGGUUAGGGAAGGGCGUGGCGCGGUGGUUCAGCUCACAGCUCGAGUGAUGAUGGUAAGUAUCUUUGUCUUUUCUAACAAGUUCAAAUUACACUAAUAUUUUGAUCCAUUUCCUUCACACUUCAUAGAAAGGAGUAGAAGAUCCAUUCCGAACAUAGGCAGAGCAUCAGACCAGUGUCUUAACGAGUCAUUUCUGUCUGAGAGUUUCCAAUGAAGAAGUUCAGGGCCGUGCAGAGACCACUAAAAGGGCAGGUGCUCAAAAGAAAAAAAAGGGCACAUCUCCCCGCAUUCUAGGACAGAAUAUGAACAAAGCCACUCAGCUUUCAGUUUAAUAAACAAUGAUAAAUUA